UCAAUUCCCCAACACAAAAUUCGAUUGAAAACAGAUUUUGGAUGCUCCAAAGGUGAAAGAAAGAAGCCAUGAAAGACACUUCCUUCAAGGUAAUAUGUAUGGG